CCCUUGGUCUUCCGGCGAGCGGGCUUUUCACCCGCUUUAUCGUUACUUAUGUCAGCAUUCGCACUUCUGAUACCUCCAGCAACCCUCACAGGCCACCUUCACAGGCUUACAGAACGCUCCCCUAAGCAACGUCUGGGUAGGGGAGCGUUCUGUAAGCCUGUGAAGGUGGCCUGUGAGGGUUGCUGGAGGUAUCAGAAGUGCGAAUGCUGACAUAAGUAACGAUAAAGCGGGUGAAAAGCCCGCUCGCCGGAAGACCAAGGGUUCCUGUCCAACGUUAAUCGGGGCAGGGUGAGUCGACCCCUAAGGCGAGGCCGAAAGGCGUAGUCGAUGGGAAACGGGUUAAUAUUCCCGUACUUGGUGUUACUGCGAAGGGGGGACGGAGAAGGCUAUGUUGGCCGGGCGACGGUUGUCCCGGUUUAAGCGUGUAGGUGUGUGUUCCAGGUAAAUCCGGUUCACUUUAACACUGAGGCGUGACGACGAGGCACUACGGUGCUGAAGCAACAAAUGCCCUGCUUCCAGGAAAAGCCUCUAAGCAUCAGGUAACAUCAAAUCGUACCCCAAACCGACACAGGUGGUCAGGUAGAGAAUACCAAGGCGCUUGAGAGAACUCGGGUGAAGGAACUAGGCAAAAUGGUGCCGUAACUUCGGGAGAAGGCACGCUGACACGUAGGUGAAGUGAUUUACUCAUGGAGCUGAAGUCAGUCGAAGAUACCAGCUGGCUGCAACUGUUUAUUAAAAACACAGCACUGUGCAAACACGAAAGUGGACGUAUACGGUGUGACGCCUGCCCGGUGCCGGAAGGUUAAUUGAUGGGGUCAGCGCAAGCGAAGCUCCUGAUCGAAGCCCCGGUAAACGGCGGCCGUAACUAUAACGGUCCUAAGGUAGCGAAAUUCCUUGUCGGGUAAGUUCCGACCUGCACGAAUGGCGUAAUGAUGGCCAGGCUGUCUCCACCCGAGACUCAGUGAAAUUGAACUCGCUGUGAAGAUGCAGUGUACCCGCGGCAAGACGGAAAGACCCCGUGAACCUUUACUAUAGCUUGACACUGAACAUUGAGCCUUGAUGUGUAGGAUAGGUGGGAGGCUUUGAAGUGUGGACGCCAGUCUGCAUGGAGCCGACCUUGAAAUACCACCCUUUAAUGUUUGAUGUUCUAACGUGGACCCGUGAUCCGGGUUGCGGACAGUGUCUGGUGGGUAGUUUGACUGGGGCGGUCUCCUCCUAAAGAGUAACGGAGGAGCACGAAGGUUGGCUAAUCCUGGUCGGACAUCAGGAGGUUAGUGCAAUGGCAUAAGCCAGCUUGACUGCGAGCGUGACGGCGCGAGCAGGUGCGAAAGCAGGUCAUAGUGAUCCGGUGGUUCUGAAUGGAAGGGCCAUCGCUCAACGGAUAAAAGGUACUCCGGGGAUAACAGGCUGAUACCGCCCAAGAGUUCAUAUCGACGGCGGUGUUUGGCACCUCGAUGUCGGCUCAUCACAUCCUGGGGCUGAAGUAGGUCCCAAGGGUAUGGCUGUUCGCCAUUUAAAGUGGUACGCGAGCUGGGUUUAGAACGUCGUGAGACAGUUCGGUCCCUAUCUGCCGUGGGCGCUGGAGAACUGAGGGGGGCUGCUCCUAGUACGAGAGGACCGGAGUGGACGCAUCACUGGUGUUCGGGUUGUCAUGCCAAUGGCACUGCCCGGUAGCUAAAUGCGGAAGAGAUAAGUGCUGAAAGCAUCUAAGCACGAAACUUGCCCCGAGAUGAGUUCUCCCUGAGACUUAGAGUCUCCUGAAGGAACGUUGAAGACGACGACGUUGAUAGGCCGGGUGUGUAAGCGCAGCGAUGCGUUGAGCUAACCGGUACUAAUGAACCGUGAGGCUUAACCUU
rnacentral:rRNA from 1 species